CACCACUUGGCUGCUCUCUUAGAUGCUUUCCAGUUCAUCUCUCCAUAUAACCGCCCUCCCUGCUAUUAACGACAGUGAAAAUGAACAGGCACUCCCUGAAAAGAUGCCCCCACAGAGAAAGGCAUGGAUACCAGAAUAGAAAGGAGGAUCCCAGAAGAGAGGCCCUGUAAGAUGAGAGCCAUGGGGAGAGGUAAAAAAAAUGACACGGAGGCAGUGUGGCAACCCAGGCAAACUCAGGAAGAAGAUGAUUCCACCUGGUUCAUAUGAUGCCAUUCGGAUGACAACGCCACUUAAAGAUCAGCUUUGGACUACAAACUGCUCAGAACAAUCUCAAGGUGGCUAGCUGAGAGGAUCUAGUCUCACAGACUACUCUAGCCAGGACUUGAGACAGCCCUGCACUUUCCCAUGAUGCACAGACUGAAUGGCACACCUACCUCUCCCAGGAUUUGAUAAUUAACUCAAGUUUUUCUUUCAGAAUCCCCUAAAGAUAUCAUCGCCUCCAGACAACAGGAAAUAAAUUUAAGAUUACGAUGCCCACAUUCCCAAAAGGUGGGGUGGG